rnacentral:rRNA from 2 species
GGAUGAACGCUGGCGGCGUGCUUAACACAUGCAAGUCGAACGGAAAGGCUCCUGCUUGCAGGGGUACUCGAGUGGCGAACGGGUGAGUAACACGUGGGUGAUCUGCCCUGCACUUCGGGAUAAGCCUGGGAAACUGGGUCUAAUACCGGAUAGGACGAUGGUUUGGAUGCCAUUGUGGAAAGUUUUUCGGUGUGGGAUGAGCUCGCGGCCUAUCAGCUUGUUGGUGGGGUAAUGGCCUACCAAGGCGUCGACGGGUAGCCGGCCUGAGAGGGUGUACGGCCACAUUGGGACUGAGAUACGGCCCAGACUCCUACGGGAGGCAGCAGUGGGGAAUAUUGCACAAUGGGCGCAAGCCUGAUGCAGCGACGCCGCGUGGGGGAUGACGGCCUUCGGGUUGUAAACUCCUUUCGCUAGGGACGAAGCGCAAGUGACGGUACCUGGAGAAGAAGCACCGGCUAACUACGU